rnacentral:rRNA from 1 species
GCAUAUCAUAAGCGGAGGAAAAGAAACCAACCGGGAUUGCCUCAGUAACGGCGAGUGAAGCGGCAACAGCUCAAAUUUGAAAUCUGGCUCCUUCGGGGUCCGAGUUGUAAUUUGUAGAAGAUGCUUUGGGUGUGGCCCUGGUCUAAGUUCCUUGGAACAGGACGUCAUAGAGGGUGAGAAUCCCGUACGUGGCUGGAGGCCUACGCCCAUGUAAAGCUUUUUCGACGAGUCGAGUUGUUUGGGAAUGCAGCUCUAAAUGGGUGGUAAAUUUCAUCUAAAGCUAAAUAUUGGCCAGAGACCGAUAGCGCACAAGUAGAGUGAUCGAAAGAUGAAAAGCACUUUGGAAAGAGAGUUAAAUAGUACGUGAAAUUGUUGAAAGGGAAGCGCUUGCAACCAGACUUGCACGUCGUUGAUCAUCUGGUGUUCUCACCGGUGCGCUCAGCGACGUUCAGGCCAGCAUCAGUUCUGGUGGUUGGAUAAAGGCCCCUGGGAAUGUGACUCUCUCCGGAAAGUGUUUAUAGCCCAGGGUGCAAUGCAGCCUUACCGGGACUGAGGACCGCGCUUCGGCUAGGAUGCUGGCGUAAUGGUUGUAAGCGACCCGUCUUGAAACACGGACCAAGGAGUCUAACAUCUAUGCGAGUGUUUGGGUGUCAAACCCAUGCGCGGAAUGAAAGUGAACGGAGGUGAGAGCCCUGAAGGGUGCAUCAUCGACCGAUCCUGAUGUCUUCGGAUGGAUUUGAGUAAGAGCAUAGCUGUUGGGACCCGAAAGAUGGUGAACUAUGCCUGAAUAGGGUGAAGCCAGAGGAAACUCUGGUGGAGGCUCGCAGCGGUUCUGACGUGCAAAUCGAUCGUCAAAUUUGGGUAUAGGGCGAAAGACUAAUC